UUCAAUAUGUUUAUAUUGUAACAAAUAGUUAAUUUCAAGUAAUAACGUAACCUAAAAUGAUUAUUGUUUAGUUAAAUAUAAUCAAAAUGUUUUUAAUAUUGAUUAUUUUGCAUUAAUUAAAUUAUAUUAAAGAUAUUAAACAAACUGAUUUAAGGGUAUGAUGUCAUGUUAACUUGAGUCAAGACUUUAAAUUUUAAAUGGUAACAUAGUAGUAUUGUUAUGUUAUUGUUGUUUACAAGUCUAUUUAUGUCAUGCUUAUUUAAUAAUAUCAAACAUACUGUAAAAUAACAUUGUUUUAGAUUUCCUGCAGGAUCCCUGUUAAAAAAAAAAAACUGAAGAAACUUUAAAAUGUAUUGAAACUUUAGAUGACGGCAACUGAAGAAAAUGAUACACCGUUGGUCAUAGUGUCAUUUCGAGACUUUAGCUCCCCCCGUUUGUUAGUUAAAUGCAAGAUGUCGCAUGGUAUGGCACACUGCAUGGUAUGCCCUAAAUAAUACUAUCAAUAAAUAUUUUUAUCUAUACUUUGUAAAUAUAUAUGCUAUCAAUUAUUAUAUUAUUCGAGUGGUUUUGUUCAAUUUAUAAAAUUUGUAUAAAAGUAGAUGAAAGCAUCAAAGAAGCGAAACGAUAAACUUUAAAGCAGAAUUUUGUCACACGAUUAUGGUGGUGAUUACGAGAGAAUUACUGUGGCAGAAUAUUACUAUCGUAGAACAAUUUUGCAUCAAACCAUUGUAUAAUGAUAGUUUUUUGUUGCCUAAAAAUAUUAUGAAAUUCAAA